rnacentral:rRNA from 1 species
GACGAACGCUGGCGGCGUGCUUAACACAUGCAAGUCGAACGGAAAGGCCCUUCGGGGUACUCGAGUGGCGAACGGGUGAGUAACACGUGGGUGAUCUGCCCUGCACUUUGGGAUAAGCCUGGGAAACUGGGUCUAAUACCGAAUAGGACCACGCGCUUCAUGGUGUGUGGUGGGAAGCUUUUGCGGUGUGGGAUGGGCCCGCGGCCUAUCAGCUUGUUGGUGGGGUAAUGGCCUACCAAGGCGACGACGGGUAGCCGGCCUGAGAGGGUGACCGGCCACACUGGGACUGAGAUACGGCCCAGACUCCUACGGGAGGCAGCAGUGGGGAAUAUUGCACAAUGGGCGCAAGCCUGAUGCAGCGACGCCGCGUGAGGGAUGACGGCCUUCGGGUUGUAAACCUCUUUCACCAGGGACGAAGCGUAAGUGACGGUACCUGGAGAAGAAGCACCGGCCAACUACGUG